rnacentral:rRNA from 1 species
UACGUAGGUGGCAAGCGUUGUCCGGAUUUACUGGGCGUAAAGGGCGUGCAGGCGGUCUGUUAAGUGCAGGGUGAAAGCUCCCGGCUCAACUGGGAGAGGUCCUUGCAUACUGGCGGACUCGAGGGGGGUAGAGGAAAGUGGAAUUCCCGGUGUAGUGGUGAUAUGCGUAGAUAUCGGGAGGAACACCUGUGGCGAAGGCGGCUUUCUGGGCCCUACCUGACGCUGAGACGCAAAAGCGUGGGGAGCGAACCGG